rnacentral:lncRNA from 1 species
CUGGUAAUGUAACGUUUAUUUACAGUUACGUCGAAUGUACUCACCAGGCUAGGCUAUUGCAUCAUUCCCCUGCAUGUCCUGUAGAUUUGACUCCUGACUAUUUCAAUACGAAGAAGAGCUGGUGGAGCUGCUCCUCACUAUUGGCUCCCUGGCAUUAAGUCUUAGGAAGCCCAGGAUUUCCUCAUGUCCGACUCAAUGUGUCAGAGUUUUCCUGCAUUUUCCGGAAAAACGGAAACAAUUCUGUGGCUAUGCUUGAUGAUAAUACUACGGCACAAUCCUAUGGCGAUUAUGAAAACAAAACAAACCUUUUUCCAAAUGAGACACUUAUGUUGCAUUUGUGCUUGAAGAGUGAUGUUGGACACUGUAGUGUGGAUGUUCUCAAAAAUGGAACACGAUUAGAAUGUGAGCAAUCUAGUAUGGAUGUCAUUCUCAAAAAUGGAACACACUCGGAAUGUAGACCUGUCUAUGAACUACCACAAGACCUAGCAUUGCCUAAGUCUGUGGUGAUUUACAAUUUUCUGAAAAGCAAGACAGUGUUCUUUAAGUGCUCAGUGAAGACUGAAGUGGAUUUAAUAUUUGAGUGUAGGCUCAAUGGAACACUUCUAGAGGAUGAAAAUGUUUCUCUGUCCUGUGAGGUGAAAAACAAUGCUGAAAACCAAGAGCAUGCCCAUGUCUGCUUCGACUGUGGAACUCAAAACAGAAUGAGAGGAUUUAUUUUGUACAUGGUGAUAACCGUUGCAGCUGCUGGGACAGUGGUCACCAUUGCUCUUGCUGUUAUUUUCUUUUGUGUGAAGAAACAUGGACACAAGCAAUCAGACGAGGGGGACCCAUGCACGAGACCAUUCAAGCUGGAACAAAGCAGGACGGAUACAGUAGUCUAUGCUACAAUACGGAUCGCUAAGGCAACAAAGUGACAGGACAGUCAACAACAUUUUUUUUAUUUCUAGGGCAAUAGCUGAUUGCCCACACCUGUCCUCAUGUGUCACAUUGCUAUUUUCAGAAACACAAAAGCAUUUCUUCUCUAGAACUAAGUUAGCUGACUAAACUGACCUAAGACCUAAUGUAUGUAAAGAUUCCACAGUGCAAUGGCACGCAUCACAAUCAGUAAAGAAACAUGUUUUUUAUUUAUUUUUUUGUUUCCAGUUAUUUUUAACCCACUCAGUUUGGAAUCUUCAGUCAUUUUUAGUUUGCAACUCAGCAACAGCAACAACCCCGGUAUUUCAAAAUGAGAAUGAGGAUGGGCAGAUACUGCACCCCCUCCACUCCAGCAGAGCGGUUCAUUUAUUAACACAGUUACUCUGAGUUGGGUUAGCACCUAGAGGAGGAGUGGAUCACAAAAAGUUGCCUUAAUUCCCUAGCUUUAUCAAACUGUUUGUGAAUUUAAAAAUGCUUUAAAUGUUAAAGCCUGAUUACUGAUAUUAGCUGUGCAAAAUAUUCAAUUUGAUGUUUUUUAAAUAUUGCUAUAUUUCUAAGCUCUUUAAAACAAUAUCAUAUUAUGCACAUUCUUUCAAAGCACAUUUACUAUACGUCUACUCUAAAGUUUUAGAAUGGGGAGCAGAGGGGGGGUCUGCUUGCAUUUUCAAUUUAACUUUUGCAAACCUAAUGGCACAGCAGUAUGUUUAACUGAUCAC